AGUUCACCUGGAUUAGACUCACAGCAGUGGGCUUUCUCACCAAGAAUGAUUUAUCCAGGACCUCAGUUGUCCAGCUUCUGCACUUGGAAGAGCAGCUGAGGAGGAAAAGUGGAAAGCAGGCUUUUCAAGAGCAAAUGAAGCUUCCAGUUGCCCUUCCAGCUACCUGGUGAGAAGACUCUUCCUCAUAGGAGGAGAAAGCUCAGAGAUAGGAAGAGAAGCCGAGUGUCUCUGAGAAUGCACAGCUCCUAGUACACGAUCCUUGGAUUUGUGCAGGCGUUGAUCUCACUGGCCUGGCAGAAUGACAAGGAUGACAAAAAAAGAGAACCAAAAAUAUUUGAAGGCCUUCCUGAAAAUCCACGGGAAGGAAGGAUCCGAAAAUCCUGAGACUUCUGUUUCUCGAGUGACCUGCAACAAGGCCAAGGGCGACUGGCGUCCGCGCGCUCGAGGUCCUCUCAGCAGGAGUUCCCGGCCAGCUGGAGCUCAGCGACCACCACCUCGGGCCUGGGGAUUUCCCUCUCCGGCCUUGGGGGGGGGGGGGGGACUAAGCAGCUCCAGGUGCCAAGAGUUCCCUCUCCCGAAAUUCUCGCCCCAGUGCUAAAUUAACUUUGGCGUCCUAAGGACCAGAGGCCAAGGGUAGUUUAGGGUGGGGAAGCUCUUAUCUCCUCUGGCCUCCCCACCCCAUUCUUUGAUAAGGCAAUGGGCAUUUUUCUGGAUGCUAUCUAUGUAAAAUGCUAUGCAAAAGCAACUUCAAGUCCCCUACCUCCCGCACUUCUACCUAGAUGGCGCUCCAAGCCCUGCCUGCUUGGAAUUUCUGAGCCACUUUCUCCCCAGGUCUUUUCCUCCCAGGAUCCCCAGGUUUAUGAAGCCGGCGCACCAGGACUGCUGGAGACACGUCCUGCCAGCCUGGAGCCUAGCUCGGGGAAUCCCCGCC
rnacentral:lncRNA from 1 species